UACGAAGGGGGCUAGCGUUGCUCGGAAUCACUGGGCGUAAAGCGCACGUAGGCGGCUUCUAAGUCAGGGGUGAAAUCCUGGAGCUCAACUCCAGAACUGCCUUUGAUACUGGAGAGCUUGAGUCCGGGAGAGGUGAGUGGAACUCCGAGUGUAGAGGGUGAAAUUCGUAGAUAUUCGGAAGAACACCAGUGGCGAAGGCGGCUCACUGGCCCGGUACUGACGCUGAGUGUGCGAAAGCGUGGGGAGCAAACAGG
rnacentral:rRNA from 1 species